rnacentral:rRNA from 1 species
UGGGGAAUAUUGGACAAUGGGCGAAAGCCUGAUCCGGCAAUGCCGCGUGAGUGAUGAAGGCCUUAGGGUUGUAAAGCUCUUUUACCAGGGAUGAUAAUGACAGUACCUGGAGAAUAAGCUCCGGCUAACUCCGUGCCAGCAGCCGCGGUAAUACGGAGGGAGCUAGCGUUGUUCGGAAUUACUGGGCGUAAAGCGUACGUAGGCGGUUAUUCAAGUCAGAGGUGAAAGCCCGGGGCUCAACCCCGGAACGGCCUUUGAAACUAGAUAGCUAGAAUCUUGGAGAGGUCAGUGGAAUUCCGAGUGUAGAGGUGAAAUUCGUAGAUAUUCGGAAGAACACCAGUGGCGAAGGCGACUGACUGGACAAGUAUUGACGCUGAGGUACGAAAGCGUGGGGAGCAAACAGGAUUAGAUACCCAUGUAGUCCCUGAGCGGGCUGGCAAGGCGCAU